UACGUAGGGAGCAAGCGUUGUCCGGAUUUACUGGGUGUAAAGGGUGCGUAGGCGGCUCUGCAAGUCAGGUGUGAAAACUAUGGGCUUAACUCAUAGAUUGCACUUGAAACUGUGGAGCUUGAGUGAAGUAGAGGCAGGCGGAAUUCCCGGUGUAGCGGUGAAAUGCGUAGAGAUCGGGAGGAACACCAGUGGCGAAGGCGGCCUGCUGGGCUUUAACUGACGCUGAGGCACGAAAGCAUGGGUAGCAAAC
rnacentral:rRNA from 1 species